AGGAUCCUUGAGCUGUUGCAGAGGCAGCCAACUGCUCCAUAUUUGGCUUCUAUUACCCAUUUACAUGCUGGAGAGAGGAGAGGGAGCGAGCGCUGUACCGCAGACAUCAUUUCUACUACAGUGGUGGAGACAUCCCGGACCUGUGUCACUGCAGGGGGAAGAAAAAAAGCCAAACAAACAAAAAAGCAGACCCACCCCCCGUGAUCAGCUAGGAAGACAUUUGUGUGCGAGUCUCUCUCUGACCCCCCCACCCCCGCCAACCCCACCUCCACUGACACUUUACAUCACAUCGUGGGCCAAACCAGAUGGGCAAGCAAUACAAGCUGUGAAUUUAUUCUUGACCCUGUAGGACAGCGACCACCUUCAUUUUUGUCUUCACCAUACAGUUAUGCACUGCCAAUAAGGCAGACCUGAGUUAUUACCAUGGUGUCUGUCAGAGAGACUGAACGUUGGAUGCGUUUGAACACAUCCAAAAAUGAGAUCUCAGAAACUGUUCUUGAGACCUAAUAUCUCUACGUGUGCGUUGAUGGCUUUACUCACCUGAGGAUUUGUGUGGCUUCAGGGAGUAAUGUCGCUGCCGUGUGUGAGCUCCAGUGUGCUUACCCUUCCAAAUCAAGCAGCAGCAUUUUUUCCAGAGCCUGCUAAGCAUCUUGCCUGGAUAAGAA